ACAAGCGGUGGAUGAUGUGGUUUAAUUCGAUGCAACGCGAAAACCUUACCACCUUUGACAUGUACGGAACCCUUUAGAGAUAGAGGGGUGCUCGAAAGAGAGCCGUAACACAGGUGCUGCAUGGCUGUCGUCAGCUCGUGUCGUGAGAUGUUGGGUUAAGUCCCGCAACGAGCGCAACCCUUGUCAUUAGUUGCUACAUUCAGUUGGGCACUCUAAUGAGACUGCCGGUGACAAGCCGGAGGAAGUGGGGAUGACGUCAAGUCCUCAUGGCCCUUAUAGGUGGGGCUACACACGUCAUACAAUGGCUGGUACAAAGGGUUGCCAACCCGCGAGGGGGAGCCAAUCCCAUAAAGCCAGUCGUAGUCCGGAUCGUAGUCUGCAACUCGACUGCGUGAAGUCGGAAUCGCUAGUAAUCGUGGAUCAGCAUGUCACCGGUGAAUACGGUUCCCGGGUUCUU
rnacentral:rRNA from 1 species